GAUGAACGCUGGCGGCGUGCUUAACACAUGCAAGUCGAACGAAGAUGCCGGAGUGCUUGCACUUUGGCAGACUGAGUGGCGGACGGGUGAGUAACGCGUGGGUAACCUGCCUUAUACAGGGGGAUAACAGUUGGAAACGACUGCUAAUACCGCAUAAGCGCACGGUAUCGCAUGAUACAGUGUGAAAAACUCCGGUGGUAUAAGAUGGACCCGCGUCUGAUUAGCUUGUUGGUGAGGUAACGGCCCACCAAGGCGACGAUCAGUAGCCGGCCUGAGAGGGUGAACGGCCACAUUGGGACUGAGACACGGCCCAAAACUCCUACGGGAGGCAGCAGUGGGGAAUAUUGCACAAUGGGCGAAAGCCUGAUGCAGCGACGCCGCGUGAGCGAAGAAGUAUUUCGGUAUGUAAAGCUCUAUCAGCAGGGAAGAUAAUGACGGUACCUGACUAAGAAGCACCGGCUAAAUACGUGCCAGCAACGACGG
rnacentral:rRNA from 1 species